rnacentral:rRNA from 1 species
UACGUAGGGUGCAAGCGUUGUCCGGAAUUACUGGGUUUAAAGGGUACGUAGGUGGAUAGAUAAGUCUGGAGUGAAAGUUUUAGGCUCAACCUAAAAAGUGCUUUGGAUACUGUUUAUCUAGAGUUAGAGAGAGGUAGCUGGAAUUUGUGGUGUAGCGGUGAAAUGCAUAGAUACCACGAGGAACACCAAUUGCGAAGGCAGGCUACUGGCUCUAUACUGACACUGAUGUACGAAAGUGUGGUUAGCGAACAGG